GCUGUAGCUCAGUGGUAGAUAAUCUGCUUUGCAUGUAGAAGGUUCCAGGUUCAGUCCUCUGGCAUCUGCA